CAUGGAAUAUGCUGAGUGGGAAGGGAUGCCCGAGGACCAUGGAGUCCAGUUCCUGACCUUGCAUAGCACCGUCCCAAAGAGCCACAUUCCUUAUGUUGGUGGAAGAAGCAAAGAAUUUCCUAGUUCAGUAUUCAGCAUCCCUUACCUCUGUUCCAAAUGUGUGUUCUAAUUCCUUCUCAUCAUUAUACUUUGUAUGACAAAGUUGCUGCAGUGGCUGUUGGCGAAUGAUGAGUACAGAAAAUGAAGAAAAAGGAACCCAACACAUUUAAUUGUCUGCAAACUCCCAAGAACUUCUAAGAUCAUGGGCACAGUUCUUACAUUUUUGCCUUUAAUAGGGAAAAUCAGAGAAUAGGGAUUAGGGUAGCCAAAAGAGUUUUAAAAAGUAUCUUUCAUUGGGAAGAGUGGCAUUCUGGCAAGAACAAGCACAUUAAGCUGCAGGGCAUUGUUAAAUUGAAUAAAUGUUUGGGCCAAAGGCA
rnacentral:lncRNA from 1 species